CGAAAAACCCCGGACAAUUUUCCCGCUUCACACAUUAUAGGUCACGUGAUCAUUUGAGCACAGAAAAGACCAGUUUAGCAGGGAACGUCGCACGGCGAAGAUGGAAGGUGUGUUAAUAUUGCGUCAUUUGAUUUUUUCAGGUAUGUUCAGUACUGGAAGAAGAAGAAGAUGAAGAAAAGAAGAAGAUAAAGAAGAAGAUGAAGAAAAAGAAGAAGCCUGUUUAGGAGGGAGAGUUGCACGGCGAAGAUGGAAGAAAUGGCGUGCAGGUAUGUACAGUACUGGAAGAAGAAGUAGAAGAAGAAGAAGACUGUUUAGGAGGGAGGGUUGCACGGCGAAGAUGGUAGAAAUGGCGUGCAGGUAUGUACUGUACUGGAAGAAGAAGUAGAAGAAGAAAAAGAAGAAGCCUGUUUAGGAGGGAGGGUUGCACGGCGAAGAUGGAAGAAAUGGCGUGCAGGUAUGUACAGUACUGGAAGAAGAAAUAGAAGAAGAAAAAGAAUAAGCCUGUUUAGGAGGGAGAGUUGCACAGCGAAGAUGGGAGAAAUGGCGUGCAGGUGUGUUGAUAUUUUCAUUGUACUUUAUUGUGUCAUUUGAUUUUUUCAUUUUUCAUGUAUUGAAUGCCUUUGUUAUAUGACUGUUUAUUUUUAUUUUGAUGAUUUGUAUAUAUAAUUGCUCCUGAUAAAUGAGACACCUGGCUGUUUUACCUCGCCCCCACAUGACUUGCUAGUUAUCGUGUUGAUGAAAUAUGGUUGAUGUUUAAUUUGACGAUCUCGAUUGGCCAGUCUGACCAGCCGCGUGACAUAACAUACUUCGGUGUUUUUUGUUUAUUUUUUUUAUUGAUUAUUGACAAACUCUCCCGCCGCGUUCUGAUUAUUAAUACAUGUAUUUUGUGCAUGUCAAACAGGUUUAUUUAUAAAUAUAUAAAAGGAUGUAUGUUUAAAAAAAAUGUGUAUACAAAAUUUGUAUGAAAAUUGGUAUAAAAAUUGGAUAUAAAAAUGUUUUUGGUCGCUCGGUGAUAUAUGUUAAAUGCAUAAUGGGUAUUAAAUGCAUAAUGGGUAUUAAAUGCAAAAAAAGGAGUGGACAAAUCGCAAACAAUAGUUUAACUGUAAACAUGUCAAAGAAGGUUUUUUUAAAUAUGUACAAAUGUAAAAUAAUGAGUUUCAAAAAAUGUGUAUAAGACUGUGUAUGAAAUGUGUAUCAAAAAUGUUAUAAAGAAUGGGUGUAUAAAAAUGGGUAUAAAAAUUAUGUAUAAAAAUGGGUAUAAAAGAUGGGUACGUCACACGGCGAAGAUGGAAAAUUGGUUUUGCAGGUGUGUUAAUAUUGCGUCAUUUGAUUUUUUCAGGUAUGUACAGUACUGGAAGAAGAAGUAGAAGAAGAAAAAGAAGAAGCCUGUUUAGGAGGGAGAGUUGCACGGUGAAGAUGGAAGAAAUGGCGUGCAGGUGUGUUGAUAUUUUCAUUGUACUU